rnacentral:lncRNA from 1 species
GUUCAUUGCCACCGUGACCACGCCCAACUUUUUUGUCCCUUAUUUCACCUGUUCUCAUGUGGUCGAUCUAUUCAUAACAAAUAUAUUCACUUAUCUGCUCUCUUAUUGUGUUUUUGUUUUGUUUUCAUGGCUUCAAACAGGAUUAAAGGUGUGGAUGCUGGUAAAGUGAAUAAAGCCACCCAGUACAGCCAGUCUAUGGAUAAUCUGUUGAACAACAUAUUCGAUACAGAGAAUUCUGUCCUUAUUGACUGGCCUGAGUGGGGCCAAGGGUCUCCAGCUGCAACUGAAAAAUCAGAGGGAAGUGAGGUAAACUGUAUUUUAAAUUAGCAGUAAGUUAAUCCUGUUUAGGAGUGUUCUAACUGCCAAAAAGGCAGGAUAAAUAUCAAAUUCAGCAGCAUCAAAGACUAUAACCUCAUAAAUAAUUAAAAAUCAGACUCAACACCUCUAUAAAACAGUUUCAACAAAAUCAUUUUAUUACAAACAUAUAAUAAUGAUGAUAUUUUCCAGCUGUAUUUAGCAUGAUGGAUGAUAAAAUGUGAUACAUCCCAUUAAGUUUGAAUGAUAUGAGGAUAAAUGUGAAGUGUUGGUAAGAAAACUGUUUGUUUCUGAGCUGUUUCAAACAUACAAGAACAACUUUGUGUUUUUCAUUCAGGCACUGUGGUAUAAAUCUGGUCUGAAUAUUGCUCAAUCAAAUUAUUUUAAUUAUUAUUAAUUAUUUUUCAUGCAAGGGCCUUGUUUGUUACUCAACUAGAUUAACAUUGUAGCAAUGUGUUCAAGCAAAUGCUUUUAUGUAUCUGUAUGUUUGUCAUUUUGUAAUGUGCAGGUCGGUGUUGAAGCAGCGUCUGUGGAUGUGACGGAGCAGGAUGAGAGUUAUAACAGCCUACUGUCUGCUCCACCUUCACACCCCACCUGGCUGGAAAGCAGGCGAGAGGCGGUUCUAAAAGAAGACAAUGAGCGAUACUCUGAGACAAAGAAAAACCUGAGAAAAACAGUCAAAGAGUUACGUGACACUAUUCAAGAGAUGAUGCGCGAAAACGAAAUCCUCCCAGAUAUCGAGCGUCUGGAACAACGUGAGUUCAACCUGGAUGUUGAGGAGCAGGGGAGACUGGAGGCCAUGGUGGAGCAGGAAGUUGUUCGGGUAAAUCACACACAAACAUGGGCGGUAAUUUUGCUUUGA